GUCACGCUGUAAACGAUGUCGAUUUGGAGGUUGUUCCCUUGAGGAGUGGCUUCCGGAGCUAACGCGUUAAAUCGACCGCCUGGGGAGUACGGCCGCAAGGUUAAAACUCAAAUGAAUUGACGGGGGCCCGCACAAGCGGUGGAGCAUGUGGUUUAAUUCGAUGCAACGCGAAGAACCUUACCUACUCUUGACAUCCAGAGAAUUUAGCAGAGAUGCUUUAGUGCCUUCGGGAACUCUGAGACAGGUGCUGCAUGGCUGUCGUCAGCUCGUGUUGUGAAAUGUUGGGUUAAGUCCCGCAACGAGCGCAACCCUUAUCCUUUGUUGCCAGCACGUUAUGGUGGGAACUCAAAGGAGACUGCCGGUGAUAAACCGGAGGAAGGUGGGGAUGACGUCAAGUCAUCAUGGCCCUUACGAGUAGGGCUACACACGUGCUACAAUGGCGUAUACAAAGAGAAGCGACCUCGCGAGAGCAAGCGGAACUCAUAAGGUACGUCGUAGUCCGGAUUGGAGUCUGCAACUCGACUCCAUGAAGUCGGAAUCGCUAGUAAUCGUAGAUCAGAAUGCUACGGUGAAUACGUUCCCGGGCCUUGUACACACCGCCCGUCACACCAUGGGAGUGGGUUGCAAAAGAAGUAGGUAGCUUAACCUUCGGGAGGGCGCUUACCACUUUGUGAUUCAUGACUGGGGUGAAGUCGUAACAAGGUAACCA
rnacentral:rRNA from 1 species